rnacentral:rRNA from 1 species
CGAUUCGCCCUUCGGGGUGCAGCAGGCGCGAAACCUCUGCAAUAGGCGAAAGCUUGACAGGGUUACUCUGAGUGACGUCCGUUAAGGACGUCUUUUGGCACCUCUAAAAAUGGUGCAGAAUAAGGGGUGGGCAAGUCUGGUGUCAGCCGCCGCGGUAAUACCAGCACCCCGAGUGGUCGGGACGGUUAUUGGGCCUAAAGCAUCCGUAGCCGGUUCUGCAAGUCUUCCGUUAAAUCCACCUGCUCAACAGAUGGGCCGCGGAGGAUACUACAGGGCUAGGAGGCGGGAGAGGCAAGCGGUACUCAGUGGGUAGGGGUAAAAUCCUCUGAUCCACUGAAGACCACCAGUGGCGAAGGCGGCUUGCCAGAACGCGCUCGACGGUAAGGGAUGAAAGCUGGGGGAGCAAACCGGAUUAGAUACCCGGGUAGUCCCAGCUGUAAACGAUGCAACUCGGUGGAUGGGGUUGGCUUCUAGCCAACCCANUGCCGCAGGAAAGCCGUUAAGUCUGCCGCCGGGCCAUUACGGUCGUCGCACUGAUUGUUAAAUUAAUUGGCCGGGGGACAC